CGAACGAGGAGGGCACGGACCCCGGCUUGGAAGCUCCAGGAAGCACCGUGCGGACCCCGGGGGCUUCACGACCUGCUUCUCUUCUCCCACCCGGCAUCCACCCGCGCCGGUGGCCCGGAAGGGUUAAAGCCCAGAUGGAGAAACCAAGAGUCUAGGAAAUGAGUAGAUUUGCCUAAGGACACACAAUGGGUAAAGGCACAUGCUGCCAAUAUGAACCACCUGAGAUCCAUCCCUGGGGUCCACACAGUGGAAGGAGAGACCUGACCCUCAAGUUGUCCUCUGAACUCCUGCUGUACAAAUUGUACGAGAUCAAGACAACCUAAAGUAUCCAAUGUUUUUCUCUGUCUCAUAUAAAAUAAGGGCACAGUUUUGGGAGAUGAAUUAAAUACAUGAUGCAUGUUAAAGUAUCUUACACAGUCACUCUUACCAUGGGAAAGUUCCCUGUGAUAACUGUCUUGUUCCUCUUCUCCCAAUAUAAACUUCAAAUCAUGCUGGGAGAUGGGCUUGGGUGUAGGACUGCAAGACUUUCUAGCACAAUGGGGAAAAAUUGGUAUUGUGUAGCCCAGGUUGUCCUUGGAUCCACUAUAGUAUGAAAGGAGACUGUGCCAUCUCCAAAUCUCUCUUCCCAACUUCCUAUAAGAGGAGCAGCAUUUUUUAUAAAGGCUCUCCCUCUUAUACAGGAAAAUCUACCCAGGUGUUUUUUAAUAUCUGACUCUGGAAGUCACUCCAGAAAAAGCAGCCAUAAACAACAAAAAAGAAAGAUGAAUAAAGCUGAAACUUGUUAACAAAAUCCUAGGGGGAUUUGGGGCUAACGUCUGUGACACUGUGAACAGAGAGGGGUUUACAGCAGCUGAAGGUGUCGCAUGUUCUUGCCAAUGGCAACAGCUUGUUAGGGGAGGGACCCUCAGAAGGGGUAGGUGUAGCAACAUCCACAAGGGUAUUAUUAUUCAACUACUAAAAUGGGAGAGGUGUCUAAAUGUGUCCAUUCUUUGUUUUGGUUUUGGUUUCUCGAGACAGGAUUUCUCUGUGUAGUCCUGGCUGUCCUGAAACUUGCUCUGUAGACCAGCCUGGCCUUGAACUCACAGAGAUCCACCUGUCUGUGCCUAAUCCUAGUGCUGGGAUUAAAGGUGUGCACCACCACCACCUGGCUAAAUGUGUCCAUUCUUAAAGGGUCAAGGUAUACUAUAUAUUAUGUGGUAUAAUUGAGGAUGUAAGAUAUCAAAAUGUCUUUUGAUACAUGAGAGACUUUAUAAAUGCCAGUAAUAGGGUUUGGUUAAUGCUCCAGUGAAACAGUUUAAGCACUAACUGGCAAGUAUUGUGUUAAUAGCUAUGAGCAUGACCAUCGUUUCUUGUUCUUCUGUUAGAGAGAGAGAGGUAGGAAUCAAUAAGAACAAAUGGGCUCUCUAAAAAGGGCUUGGGGAGAUGGCUCAAUGGUUAAAGCUCUUGCCUGUGCCAUGUGAGGGCCAGCAUUCAGAUCUUCAGGACCCACAUGAAGUCUCACAUGGUAGCCCACAUUUGUAAUCACAGUGCUGGUAUAGCCAGAUAGGAAGGAGAGACAAAUGAAUGUCUGGAAACUCACGGACCGGUGUAAGAGUUAGCCAGUAAGAACUAGUUAAUAAUAAGCCAGAACUAUUGGCCAAGCAUUUAUAAUUUUGAU